UUCUCAGGCUUCCGCUCCAAGCGGCUCCAAGUUAAUAAGAGCUACGCCUUGUGCCCAGACGCGUGUUUUAUUUGAACGGCCGCAUGCAAUCAGUAGAGAUUGUAAUAUACGGAGAAUCGAAAAGCAAGAAACACUCAGCUAUAUUUACUCAUUCCUGCACAAGUAAGGCGUUUUUGACAACACUCCUCUUGGAAAAUCCAACUGAAAUGAUUGUUUAGACGCCGCUUACAUGCUUUUGCAAAAAUUAGUUCUGAUUGGGGUCAAAGACCUUACGGGAUGUUUAAAAACAGAACAUAGCCCUCUAUGGUACUGACUAGAAAUCACGAUGAAAGAGAACAUGAAUGUGUGGUUCUCUGGCAUGUACCCUCGAGGCACAGGACGGCAGAGCUUUGAUGACUGGAUGGAGAGGCCACACCCUUUAUGAAUGGCAGUGAUUGAUCAUCUUCUCCUCCGGAGCUGAAAUUGACAGUAGAUGCAUCCUGGAGGCCAUUGCUCUAUGGUAGUAUUUGACUCGGACACCCUGGAGCAGGAGCGUAGACGUCAGAGGCAGAAUGCAUUCCCUGGCCCCGCCUCCUUCCCCUGUUCCCUGAGGAACGCACUCCGGAACCCCCCUGAGGAAGAGGAGGAAUGUAGCCUGCGAGGCUUGUUUCCGUCCUGACGUGCAGUUCCGAACCUUGUGUUCAGUCCUGGACGGAGGAGAGCAAGGCUACCCACAGGGCCAGAGGGGCAGGACUGCUGGAUUCUGCUGUCAUAAUGUUACUCUGUUCAGUGCAGCCACACAAAUCAGACAUUUCAUUCAUUAAGAACAGAUAACGGAAUUUUCAAAUUUCAGAAACAUAAAUAUACAUUUUUAUUAAAACCAUAAUCACAGAAAAACAGCUUUUGAAACAAAAUGGGAUUCUGUUAAAUGCAUUUUCUAACCUUUAGGACUUGAAGCAAACUAAAAAUUGAUAAUGAAUAUCUCUCACUGUCAGUGUAAUCAAAAGCAAUGUGUGCUAAUAUAAGCUCUUUGUCAAACUGAACAUAAUAGCUUCAGCUUAGUCUGACGCUUUGUGCAGUUCUGGUUAAAUGUCCUGCCAUUUUCUUAUUUGAACAAAUCCUAUUAUGAUCAUCCAAUCUGAAAAACAGCAGUCACUCUGUUCAGGUCCAAACUGAACCCAUCGUGUACUUUCAGAUUACAGAUACAGAAUAAUAAACGUGUGAGAUUCUCAUCUGAUGCACAUUUCUAAUGUACAGCUCCUGUUCAGUAUGACAUCCUGAGGACAGCUUGCUUCCACUACACAAACCAGCUGCUCCAGGAAGUGCGGACUACACUUAGAAGCUGGUGUGGCAAGGCUAACUGACCCCCAAAUUAGCAGAAGGUGAAGUGUGUAUAAAAUUCCCCCCUGGCAGGGAACACACCACAACCCCCACAGCUCCUCUGUAGAUUGGGCUCCAUGCUGAUACAGUCUUGCUGAAAAUUUCAUGGUUGUUAAAGGACAAUUACAAGGAUGACCCUCACUUAUAUCCCAGAAUUCAUUUUUGUGAGCAAUGGCUUCCUCAUUUGUGCAGGAACGUGUGCCAGAAGU